CAUUUAUGGAGGUCCGUGAAUUAACUUUUUAGAGUUAAACUAUCAGAAUUCGGCGGAAAUAGCGGUACAAAAACUAAAAAAUCUACUGGUAUGCUGGAACAUCGCGAACGGAAUCCUGCGAAAUGGUCGAGACAAGGUUUCGGGAAAAAUCAAGGACGAAUUUUGGAAAACUUAAGCGGUGGAUUUACCAGAGAGUCAUCCGGUAAUCUGAGGGCGAUUCUUUUGCGUGAAGGCGAAAAAUAAGCCAGCUGCGGUCAUUAAAAAUAUAAAUAUGAGACCGAACAACAUACGGUUAACGACAGGCACUGUGGUUCAAAUCACGCGGAAAAAAUUUCGUUUCCUGGGUGUGGUCAGUAAGAGAUUUUAAGAAGCUGAACUUGAUUCUCUGGAAUUGGAAAAAAAUAUCGAAAACUAUGGGAUUUCACUGGAGCUGUAUUGGCCAAUCCGAACCCUAUCGAGUAAGUCCAUCAAGCUCUUUCAUGCACCAUUCUUCUGUGCAUCAAAAUCUGAUAAAUUUUUUUUUUAUCAUGAAUCGAAAGGCUACUGGCUCGGAAUAGUCAAUAGAUCAUAUAGACAAAAUGCAAUCUAAUUGAUUGUCAAAAGCGACGAAAGAUCGCCAUGAAAUCCGAUGCAAUUAUGGGCACGAUGGAAGUGAAACUGCAGCAAAUAACCAUGGUAAUAUGAACAGCACAAUCUUUAGGAAUACACUCCCCGGAUCAUAUGGAUACGACAAUGAACAUGAAAAUCAACAGGUGCAUUUCCUGUUCGGCAUUGACCCAUAUUUUAUUGAACCGCACUUCGACGACUUUGCCAAUCAUAGUUUUAAAUUGUGUCAUUUAGAAAAUGCGAUAAAUAUCUGGGCUCCUCGGAACUCUCCCUUAAAGAUAAACCGAAACCGGACUGUGCCUGGGAGCGACGGCGGUGGAUUCUUGAAAAGGUAGCCUAAUUGGAACCGAGAAAUUGAUCUCUGUACUGCAUUCCCAUCUGUACAAAUAUCUAAAAUCCAUCAUGCAAGCUUGAGAGAACAGGUCGUUGAAUUUUGGUCAGCUUAUCGGAACUGUUCUAAAAGAUUCUUCUUUCCUUUUUGGCAUUUGGUUUGGCGACAUAGACGUGAAUCGGUACCAGUUGAUAUUUAAAGUUGAGCUAAUGAUUGCUUUUUUAUUCCUGCCGAAAUAAAUUGAAAAGAAAUUAAAAACAGUGUUCCCGCACUCGGAUGACCGGUUUAUAUAUUGAAUCGAGAAUAAAAAUUUUAUUGCUA